rnacentral:rRNA from 1 species
GAUGAACGCUGGCGGCGUGCCUAAUACAUGCAAGUCGAGCGAACAGACGAGGAGCUUGCUCCUCUGAUGUUAGCGGCGGACGGGUGAGUAACACGUGGAUCACCUACCUAUAAGACUGGGAUAACUUCGGGAAACCGGAGCUAAUACCGGAUAACAUAUUGAACCGCAUGGUUCAAUAGUGAAAGACGGUUUUGCUGUCACUUAUAGAUGGAUCCGCGCCGCAUUAGCUAGUUGGUAAGGUAACGGCUUACCAAGGCAACGAUGCGUAGCCGACCUGAGGGGGUGAGCGGCCACACUGGAACUGAGACACGGUCCAGACUCCUACGGGAGGCAGCAGUAGGGAAUCUUCCGCAAUGGGCGAAAGCCUGACGGAGCAACGCCGCGUGAGUGAAGAAGGUCUUCGGAUCGUAAAACUCUGUUAUUAGGGAAGAACAAAUGUGUAAGUAACUAUGCACGUCUUGACGGUACCUAAUCAGAAAGCCACGGCUAACUACGUG